AUUUAUUUAUUUUUAAGUCAAAAUUUCUUGCUUCAGUUUCGGAACAUACUCGUGUCGAAUCUUGUAAAUGUCAAUUUUGAUUGACCUCUUUAUUUGCUUCAGCUGUCAGCCUGAAACUGCUUUUGUACCUUAUUUUGCCUUCACUUGUUGUGUUUGGUUACUUCCGUUACAGAUGUUAGUGUGUUGCAUUCAUUGUUGUUACGUUGAUGUAUUGUCCAUACAACCGUGCAGUCCAUCAGAUGUACCUGUGUGUGUAUGGGCCCCACUCUUGUAUACUUUAAAGUACACAGUGUGGGAUGCAUGACCUACAAUGUGUACAUGGGUGUAUUGUGCUGCUGGGGGCAAAUUUGUCAUUAUGAGAUUUUUCUUAAUAAAAGACAAGGGAGAUGGGACAUGGGAUACCAAGCGGCACGCUUUCCCUUCUUCUUCUUCUUCUCCCCCAUGAUUUCAACAUGGUAUCAUAGCACAUAUUGACAUAGACCUGAUUGUCUCUCCCUCCUUUCUCUAUUUUCUUCUAUGAGGCUUUCCCCCCCUUUUCUAUGACUCUAUAUCUUGAGUAUUGAUUCCCUCGAAUGCAUUCAUUUCUAAUUCUAAACUUGUGUUGCCACUCAUCCAUCCUAACAAUCCUCAUUUCAGCUACACUCAUCCUAUGAACGUGUUGUUACUUAACUGUCCAACAUUUUGUCCCAUAAAGCAUGGCUGGUUUUGUAGCUCUAUCCUAUAGACUUUCCCUUUUAUUUUGAGGGUUAAAUGACAAUCAUAUAAAACUCCAAAAGGACAUUUCCAUUUCCUCCAUCCCGCUUGAAUUAUAUGGGCAACAUACUUCUCAAUCUCUCCACUCUCAUGAAUUAUUGACCCAAGAUAUCGAAAUUGGUCAUUUUGGGAAACUUCUUGGUCAACAAUCCUAACUAAUUCCUUGUUCCCACUCCUAUUGUUGCUAAAUUGCACUCCAUAUACUCUGUUUUGGACCGACUAAUUUUAAAUCCUUUAGAUUAUGAAGAACCCCUCCAUAAAUGUAAGCUUUGUGUUUACACUUUACACCCUCCCUUAUCUUGUCAAUCAAAACUAUUUCGUCUACAAACAACAUAUGCCGUGGGAUCUCUUCCUGUAAAUGUCUCCUUAACUCAUCCAUAACCAAUGUGAAAAGGUAUGGGCUCAAUUCAGACCCCUACUGCAAGCCUACUGUUAUUGGGACCGACUUCUCUCUUCGUUGGUGGUUCUCACAUUUGUUACUGCUCCCGCAUACAUAUGCUUAUUCAUAUCAAUAUAUCCUCUUAAAACUCAUUUAUCAACACCCACUAGAUUAAUUCUCUACGGAUCCUAUCGUAAGCUUUCUCUAAGUCAAUGAAGAUCAUGUGGAGAUCCUUCCUCUUCUCUUUAUAUUCAUCCAUCAAUUAAUUACCUAAGUAGGAAGAUAGCUUUAGUGGUAGACCUCCCUGACAUGAAACCAAACUGAUUUUCUCAUACAUUCAUCUCUCAUGCCUUAGUCUUUGCUCAAUCACUCUCCCAAAGUUUCAUAAUAUGGUCAUAAAUUUAGACCCAUGAUAUUUACUGUUAGCUCUAUUCGUCUCCUUUAUUCUUAUAAAUUGGUAUCGCAGUACUUUUCCUCCAUUCAUCCGAAAUUUUCUUCGAUGCUACAAUAUUGUUAAACAACUUUGUCAAAAUGAAAGAAUGAAAGAAAAAAAAAAAAAAAAAAAACAGGUAUCUUCCAUAGACUUCCAAAACUCUAUUAGUAUACCAUCUAGUCUAAGGACCUUACCUAUUUUCAUCUCUCCUGAAGCUUCUUUCACUGAAAUAUCUUAAUCCUGUGAAAGUAUCUAUAGUCUCCAACAUCAUUUGACUUUAUGGUUCCUGCUAUCCCUAUGUUCUCAGAGUGGUUGUCAUCUAAUAAGUUUUGAAAAUAACUUCUCUACCUUUCAUUGAUCUCAUUGUCCCCUCUUGUCAUUACUCUUAAUGCAUCUAGACUGAUUCAAUGAUCUAGGUUCCUACCCUUCCUCACUCAUGUUUUGCAAGUUUGAAGACAUCUUCCCCACCUUCUCUUGUCCCCAUGCUUUUGUAAAGAUCAUCAUAAGCCUUGGAAAAAAAAAGGCAGCAACAUGAAGGAUUCUGAGUUGUAAAAUUUUGAUAAGGUCUUAAACUUACCUUUAACAAAAAUAAUAAUAAAAGAGGAAAGAAGGAAGAAUAAAAGAAAAAGAAAAGGAAAAAAAGAUAAGGUCUUAAACUUGAAUAUGAAUCGAUUCGGGCAUAAGUUUUGGGAGGUGGGGAUGCUCCAUCACUUAAUGAGGUAUAUGCCCAUCUCCAAUAGGUAUUUCUUAGUACUAUAAUUGCCAUUGGGGUAGUGGGAGUAGGUGUUAGAUCUUCCCUAAUUUCUUUUGCUGUCUAUGAUGGUGGUCAAGGAGGUUGUGGAAGCCACAAGUGAUUGUGAGAGUCAGGGGGAGGCCAUGGAUUUAGGAAAGGUACUCAUUCUGGAUUUAAAGGUGUUGAGAGUGUGGGAAACCAAACCAAGCUAUCCACAGUGCAAACUACGUUUCUUAUUCUAGAGAGAGUAGUGAGAUUUGAUCAGCUGGAUCUAGCUACAUUAAAAAACAACGGAGUGCUGUUGGUGUUUUAGUCACUCUUGCUAAAGAGGUAUACUUAAAGUUACUAAAGAGUCAGCCUCAUUGUUCGACUAGUGCUCUUGCGUCCACCACAUUAGCACUUUGAAUUCAGGUACAACUUGUCUCACUUCCCUCGAGUUAGACCCCUUGGGUCAUGGACUUGGGUGCAUUUGAUUAUAUGAUGUGUGAGUCUGGUGCAUCUUGUUGUUGAUAAAUUAGUUUCCAACUCUUUUGUUACUUUAGUUGAUGGUAAAUUGUUUGAAGUAUGUUGUUUGGGCACUUAUCUUCUAUCUCUUUAUUCUCUGUCCUUUAUAUGCAUAAAUUUCUUUUGUCUUACGUCCGUUACUAAAUUUACGAAGUCUCUCAAUUGUUCUAUGACUUUUGAUCUUGCCUAUUGUGUCAAGAUCUAAGGACAAGGAAGAGGGUUGGUGGAGGACAUGAAUUGAGUGAUCUUUAUUAUUUGGACUUCGAACAAGUUGGAGCCACCAUGAAGAGUAGUACAUCACCUCAUUAGUGGCAUGUUGGCUAGGUCACCUCUACUCAAAGAAUUUGAACAGUAUCAUUCUGUUGUUGUCAUCUCUUUCACUGUUAGAGUGCGAGGUUUGUGAGUUGAGCAAGUAUCAUAAAGCCAUGUUUCCACUGCGUGUGGGCAUAUUUCAAUGUCAUUUGCUUAAUGAUUUUCUAGUAUUUCUAGGGGUUACAUCGACUUGCUUAAUGAUUGGUCUUUGAUUGC